rnacentral:lncRNA from 1 species
UUUGAACUAAAAAUAGAUAGGGCUCAAUAAAGGUCGGGUCAUAAUAUUAUAUGAUUUUGAACUAAAAAUAGAUAGGGCUGAGUUGGAUUGUGAAGGAGGCAUGAGGGUCAUGAUCCAUUACCACCCCUAGUCAUAUGUACAAGAGAUUGGUUUAUGGUUAUCAAGCAGGUAUUAACUACUCCCGCUGUCCCAGAAAAAAUAAGUCGUUUUAGGAUUGUCCUAAGUCAAAUUUUUUUGAGUUUUGCCAAGAUAAUAGAAAAAACUACAAAUAUUUAUGGUAUGAAAUAAGUACCAUUAGAUUUAUCUUGAGAUAUAUUUUUAUAAUGUACGUAUUUAAUGCCGUAAACAUUGAUACUUUUCUCUAUAAAUUUGAUCAAAGUUGGAAAGUUUGACUUAAGACAAAUCGAGAAUGACUUGUAUUUUUGGGACAGAGGGAAUAUGCUCUAUUAAAUACAUAUAGAUCCAUACAUUUCAAUUGCAUACAAUAAACUUCAUUACUAGCGGAACCUACUAACCACAGCCACACGAGCAACUGUCUCCGGAAUCGCCAACACUGCCGCAUGAUCAGCCACUGCAAUCCCAGAGUUAUGAUGCCUCGCCAAAUAUUAAAGCAAGCCAUCAAGCCUCGAUCAUAUAUACACAAUGCUGUACGCAGCCACGCCCACUUCCAUUUAAUGGAACCCGUGAUCCCACCCUGGUUUUCAUGAGGCGACCAUCCCCAUGUGACAUAUACGAUUGCUAGACAAUGCCAUGCGCGGAAUAUGCACACGCCUGGUGCGUUUGAUUCGAUUCUCAGGUCAAGAUUUCUUACAAUUUCACCUACCACAUCGAUGUGAUUUUGGUAAGGGAUAUUUUUCCUUUUAAAUUCACCUGUGGAGGACCCCUUAGUAUCAGCUCGUAACAGCAACCAGUACCAAGUGGCCUGGACCGUCUAUCCACCACAAAUAUACCAGCUUAAUAAGUUAGACCUAUUACUAAUGCUAAUAUUAGUAUCAAGUCUUAUUUUAGCUGGUAUAUUUGUUGGGGAUUUAUAGUGGUUUCUAUAUUUUAGCCCUCUCUUUCUUCUCUCUGUUGCUUCGCUCAAGGUACAUCUUGUAGUAGUUCCUCUCUGUUGCCUCUAACUGGUAAAUCUAAACAGAGACCCAGUGUAAACGAAUUUUGGCACCCGUUAAAAUCCGAUUAGUACACAUUUUUUACUCUACAUACAUAUAUAUAUAUAUACAAAUAUAUAUAUAUUGACCAGCUAUCAGCCUCACUGUAAUCCUGUCCUUGGCUUCUAGACCACGUGGAAAGGAAUUUAUGCGUAGAAAACAUAAUCCUGUUCAUAGCUGCUAGCCUGCUACGCGUGCGCCACGCGCAAAGGAAUAGACCUAAACAAAGUGAAGGAUGCCCAGAGGGUGCUUUGUCAUCGUCCAAUGAAUCUGAACGGGAUGCAUUGCUCAGUUCUUCAGCUACUAGUGCCUAAAAUAUGAUAGUGGCAUUGCAUGAGCAUCAAGCUAGUAGGGUGACUGAGCUGAGUGAGCACAGGUAACUUGGUGCCAACGGUGAACAGUAAUGCCAAGGCCAUGCACACUUCAGGUGUCGCGGUAAUAAACAACAACUAUUUGAUCGAAAAGAAACCAAUCGGGAAUCUUUGAGAUUUUGUAGUAGUGUUCAAUGUCUUCUAGCGGCUUAUCUCCUAAGCUGAACAUUCCAUCAUCUAAGCAAGUAGAAGCUGAGAGGGAUUUACACCUACCGCUACACAGAGUAUCUUCCAGGAUUCUCGAGUAUUCUUUUUAUUGCCAAUGACCAUAUAGCUUGCCUCCUCUAGAAAUUUCUUCAAUAGGCAAGGGUUUUACCUCCAUGAAAUGUCCGUAUCUGAGUACAAAAACCACGACCACUUAGAAAAUGAUGAACAAAGACAGCAGUCGUUGGUGUCCGAAGAAAAAUAAAUUAAAGAUGCAUUUUUAGAAAUUUUAAACUUCUUGUACCUUUGGACUGGCUCGAUGGUCAUAUUUUCUAAGUACAAGUUUAUAUGACGACUUAUGAAUUUGUUCAAAAAUACAUGUUCGAAUUUGUCCACCAUAGCACCCGCUGAUUGCUUGAUGAGAACCGGUUAUGAUAUUCAGAUAACUUCCUGCAGAUAGCAAUAAUUACUGCAACCUGGCAAAUAAAACUUAAAGCCAACCACCAUUUUUAAUCCACAACUUGAGAAUCGAGGGUUCAUCUAAUCACACUCCCUCAGAACCAACCAACACAACCUUGAAUAAAUUGGACUUGGAUCACCAAUUGGGAGAUGAUGAACAGGCCACUUUUGUAAUCGCUCAAGAAAAUUAGAAGUGCAAAGGUUGUAUUGGACUAUAAAAAUCUUGUUACCUAGCUUAGAUAAAAGGAUUAUUUAUAAUAGAAACAACCUUCCUAGUCGGGUGUAAAUGGACCUUAGAGUUUUUUUUAAAGUAAUGCUUGCUCAAAGGUCGCAACAAACACUACUACACAAUCCUAUAGCACUGCUGGCCUCCAACUCCCUGUCACUGCCGGUUUCAGAUCCAUCAUCUGAAAUUCAGCGGUGAUGGGGUGUCGGUGUUUAGACCCAGCAACCUACUGAGGGGGUACCCGAGGUAGUGUUUUAUGCGUGGGGCUCGGCAAGAUCAAGAACUCAAAAGUCAACUCAAACACACAAUUUAGAUAGGUACGUGCUACUUAUGUCGCGUAAUACCCUACAUCUUGUGUAUUGGUUAGAUUGUAUUGAUUGAAAAUGUUUUAAUGGUAAAUCCACAGUAGGUACGGUAUGCGGCCAGACCUCGCCGUACUGGUAGAUCCAACCCCAGCCUGCCAGUGCCGACAACAACACGCAUUAUUAGGGAAGUCUCGAUGGCAAACAAAUUACAGAAGAUUAACUAAACAUACAGUCAUGUAAGCUGUGAAAGAGUACCAUACCGAUCUCAUCUCACGUGCCCAAGGUUUCUAUGAUUCAACCUAAUUGCUGACGUGAGCAAGUUAAUUCCUUUCUAGUUUAUUGCCUUUCGUAACAAAACUAAUGAUGUUUCUUUCUUAUGACUACUGCUGGAUGGCACUUCUGUGGAGACCGUCAUUUGCAUUGGCUCAUACGUGCCGGGCGGAAGUGUACCGGUGCAUUAUGUCCUUUUCGCAAUGACGACAGCAAUCAAACCGGUUCUGUUGUACACCGCAUAAAUGACAUAUGCUAGCCCAGGAGGGUUGGUUCCCUGGCAACUACAACGGGAAGGGUUGGUUCGUCACAGCACAGGACUACCACAGGAAAACAUACUUCCACAAAACCAACAGGUUAGAUCAUUUUCCGAUGAAAUCAUCUGAAACUAGUACUUCCUCAGGUCAGAAAUAUAAGACGCUCUGACGAGUGGGACUAGCACGCAGUUAGUUGAAACUUCUUGUCGGGAACAUCAUAUAUGUAUAUUCCUAGCCCAAGGGAUUAUACACAGUGUUUUAUCAUAUACGCAAGGUUUUAUCAUGUUGUGCCAUGCAUCAUCUUGUCAGUACGAUUAUCGGCGAAUUUAUAGGCAAUUAUUUUGUUGAUGAAUUAUUCUAUAACUGCCACAAAAAUGUUAUUAUAAUUUAAAAAAUGUAUCAGUGCCAUAUAUAGCUGUUGGUAGGGAAAUCGAAUGUAGCUGAUAAUUGUUUCAAAGACUAGCUAGAGUAAAAAUAACUUGUUGCUGAACCUAUGUGGGGGGAGGUUGAGCCGGCGAAAAUAAGUGCUUCGGUAUAUAGUACAAAGAGAAUGGGUGCACCUAUGUCUUGCCUUUGUCAAUGCAAGACUUGUGUGGUUGCGGUUUAAGCGCGAUGUUGUGGAUGACAAUCUUGAUCAAGACUCCCUGAGAGUUACGCAGAUGCAAUGUCACAGUCGUAAUGAAUCUCUUGUCCUCUGGAGCUGGAAUAGGAAAGUUUGUUGGCAAGAAGGAACACCCAAGGAAGACUUUGAUGCCUCCCGUCCCCAAAUAUGGCAAGUGAUCUUCACAAGACGUUCAUGCAACCCUAUCGAACCUCUUGUCAUGUGUAAGACCUAUGGACCACGGCUCCUGUCCAGUCAAGACCUUGGAUUUGACAAAUCAGAAGCAUUAAGCUGCUAGAUUGAUACCUAGCCUAUAUAUCCUACAGCUGCCAUUUUCUUGACAAAAUUUUUCUACAACUGUAGUGUGCUACAUUCCUUUGAUGUUAGAAAUUAUCAUGUACUUUAAUGUGAUGAGUGGUGCACUUGUUGUUAGAUCAUCGAUCUGUUCUUCUGCUCCAAGACGGCAUCGAUAUUCACCGCAAACUAGUCAUAUAUCCUACACGAUUGCGUUGGUAACUUUGUAUAUUGCAGACACGCACACGCACACGAAGGUUGUUAGUUAGCUAAAAAAGUUGGUAAAUGAACUGAAGUCCACUACUCUAAAUUACUUUUACAUGACACGGUCACAGGUGACCAGCAAUCAUGCCCGCUGUCAAAGAUGUGUCACAAAUAACUUAUAGAAGGUGACGGGCAAACACCCAUCACCAAUGAUGGAUUAGAGUUGACAGGCAACACUUAACACCGGUCACCAUUCACUAGUGAUCUUUGAAUUUAAACUUUAGCUAGCCUUAGCUUGGACAUGUUCCAUCCUGGUUGAGUUGUUAUUAAUGAUAUAGUAACAUAAGGAUCUUCAUUUGCAGGAAUUUAAUUAGCCCAGCUCAUGAUCGUUGUCACAGGUGGUAAGCUGUGGGAGAAAGGAAAACAAGCCUUGCUCGAAAAGUAAACGCAGCAAACAUUUGGGUGAUUCGGACAGGCUCUCAGCAGGAUAGUCUCGAUUCCUUAAGGCAAAACUUGACUCAAUCUUAGAUGUCGUGAGCAAAUUGUUGACACAUUCUUGUAUUCCAUUAUGUCGAGUACGUUCCAGGUUGAGCUGAUGACUUACGAGUCGUAUGUAGGGGUGAUAAAAGGGCCCUCUAAUUUAGCCUAGAAAACUUAAGGAUCGGGCUCAAUAAAGGCCGGGUCAUAAUAUUAUAUGAUUUUGAACUAAAAAUAGAUAGGGCUGAGUUGGAUUGUGAAGGAGGCAUGAGGGUCAUGAUCCAUUACCACCUCUAGUCAUAUGUACAAGAGAUUGGUUUAUGGUUAUCAAGCAGGUAUUAAGUACUCCCGCCGUCCCAGAAAAAAUAAGUCGUUUUAGGAUUGUCCUAAGUCAAAUUUUUCUGAGUUUUGCCAAGAUAAUAGAAAAAACUACAAAUAUUUAUGGUAUGAAAUAAGUACCAUUAGAUUUAUCUUGAGAUAUAUUUUUAUAAUGUACGUAUUUAAUGCCGUAAACAUUGAUAUUUUUCUCUAUAAAUUUGAUCAAAGUUGGAAAGUUUGACUUAAGACAAACCGAGAAUGACUUGUAUUUUUGGGACAGAGGGAAUAUGCUCUAUUAAAUACAUAUAGAUUCAUACAUUUCAAUUGCAUACAAUAAACUUCAUUACUAGCGGAACCUACUAACCACAGCCACAGGAGCAACUGUCUCCGGAAUCGCCAACAGUGCCGCAUGAUCAGCCACUGCAAUCCCCAUGUGACAUAUACGAUUGCUAGACAAUGCCAUGCGCGGAAUAUGCACACGCCUGGUGCGUUUGAUUCGAUUCUCAGGUCAAGAUUUCUUACAAUUUCACCUACCACAUCGAUGUGAUUUUGGUAAGGGAUAUUUUUCGUUUUAAAUUCACCUGUGGAGGACCCCUUAGUAUCAGCUCAUAACAGCAACCAGUACCAAGUGGCCUGGACCGUCUAUCCACCACAAAUAUACCAGCUUAAUAAGCUAGACCUAUUACUAAUGCUAAUAUUCGUAUCGAGUCUUAUUUUAGCUGGUAUAUUUGUUGGGGAUUUAUAGUGGUUUCUAUAGUAGUGAGUCCUCACCGGUGAGUAUAUAUAUUCCCUCUCUUUCUUCCUCUCUGUUGCUUCGCUCAAGGUACAUCCUGUAGUAGUUCCUCUCUGUUGCCUCUAACUGGUAAAUCUAAACAGAGACCCAGUGUAAACGAAUUUUAGCACCUGUUAAAAUCAGAUUAGUACACAUUUUUUACUCUACAUACAUACAUAUAUAUAAAUAUAUGUAUACAAAUAAAUAUAUAUUGAC